AAAAUACUGAUAUAACUCUGACCAACUUGGCAGCAUUCUUUCUAAACACAGAACAACUAAAAUCUCUAAGAACUCUUGUGGAGAAUUCAUAGCUUGCAACUUUCCUCUGCUGUCUCCACUUGUCACCAUCAACGGCAAAAAUCCCCUCACCAAAAAGAUCUGUCAUAACAUCUUGACUAUACUUACCUCUAGAAUAUUUAUCAAAAUUGGUUUUCAAUACAUGUUCAAUAUUUCUCACAUCUAUUGUGUACAACUGAUCACUUUGAUUUGGUGCAAGAAGUCUAUAAGUUGGAUGAAUUUUGGCCAUUUGAGCUUGGUAAUCAUAGAGUUUGUUGAAGUAGAAAAGAUGGUUGAACACUGUGCCUUUAACAGGUGCAUAUUUUGGGUCCCCUAUUGAUUUUCCUUUGAAGAUUGUCAUCAAGAUGAAACAUAUGGCUAGGAAAAUUGCUAGAAGAGAGAAGGCUAUGAGAGUCAAAAUGGUGUACAAAACAUCCAUUUUUUUUUUUUGUGUGCUUUUUGUUUAGAGUGUAUGAAUUAUGAUCUUAAACAAAGUUACUUGUAACAAUGCUCCAAGGAAAGUUUGGACCAUCCAUGAUUUAAACAAAAUGAGCUCUAUUAAUUAAACAUUGUUGAAGUAAUUUUUCCACAAGAUGAC
rnacentral:lncRNA from 1 species